rnacentral:rRNA from 1 species
CCUACGGGAGGCAGCAGUGGGGAAUAUUGCACAAUGGGGGAAACCCUGAUGCAGCGACGCCGCGUGAAGGAAGAAGUAUUUAGGGAUUUAAACUUCUAUCAGCAGGGACGAAAAUGACGGUACCUGACUAAGAAGCCCCGGCUAACUACGUGCCAGCAGCCGCGGUAAUACGUAGGGGGCAAGCGUUAUCCGGAUUUACUGGGUGUAAAGGGAGCGUAGGCGGCGAUGCAAGCCUGAAGUGAAAGCCCGGGGCUCAACCCCGGGACUGCUUUUGAAACUGUGGUGCUAGAUUGCAGGAGAGGUAAGUGGAAUUCGUAGUGUAGCGGUGAAAUGCGUAGAUAUUAGGAGGAACACCAGUGGCGAAGGCGGCUUACUGGACUGUAAAUGACGCUGAGGCUCGAAAGCGUGGGGAGCAAACAGGAUUAGAUACCCGAGUAGUC